GCCCUCGCUUCAACAGCACAUACUCGAGAAUUGAAAUGAUACAGAGAUUAGCAUGGCCCUUGCACAAGGAUGACAUGCAAUUCAUGAAAUGUUCCAUAUUUUG
ensembl:snRNA U6 U6 spliceosomal RNA